rnacentral:misc_RNA from 1 species
AUGAGCAGAAAGGUCUAUUCUCUCCAUGUAGCACGCACUGACAAGCUCUGCAAAAGAGCUGAAGUUAUUCUUGGAUGCAAUAGGUUCCAUCCGUGCUUUUAGUUGCUCACAUGCAUCCAGUACUGCAGCUCCAUACAGGUCAGAACUUACAGAAGCAGCUGUUGCCGAGGCAUUUGGAACCUUGUCAGUACUUGUCUCUGAAAUGAACACUGCAUUUAGAGGGAUAUUAAAGGAAGAUGCAGCAAUCUGGGCAAGCUUCGUAUGCAAACCUUGG